GCGGUGCGAUGGCGGCGCCGGGCUGUGGGGAGCUGCGGGCGGGCGGGCCGGGCGGUGUCCCGGGGGCUGUACCGCCGCACUCCAGCUGUGUCCCGGGUCCAGGGGGUGUCCCGGGGGCUGUCCCGCCGCACCUCAGCGGUGUUCCGGGUUCGGGAGCUGUCCCGCCGCACCCCGGCGUGUCGCGGCGGCGCGGGCGGACGCUGCUGGUGCGGCACCUGCCCGCCGAGCUGACGGCGGCGGAGAAGGAGGAUCUGCUGCAGCACUUUGGGGCGGUGUCUGUGCGCGUCCUGUCGGACCACGGGCGGCUGAAACAUACUGCUUUUGCCACCUUUCCCAGUGAAAAUGCAGCUGCAAAGGCUUUAUCAAGGCUGCAUCAGCUGAAACUUUUAGGUCACACCUUGGUUGUUGAAUUUGCGAAGGAGCAAGAGAGUGUACAGGUCCUUAGCCAGCCUUCUGUCUCAGAGAAGUGUAAAAGUUCAGAAGACCCAGUGAAAGAAGAAGAGAAGGUAGAACCAAGCUGUGUUAAAAUAGAGAAUGGGAUUGCACCCAACCAUGGCCUCACCUUUCCCAUCAAUUCCUGCCUCAAAUAUUUGUACCCACCACCUUCAAGUGCAAUUCUAGCAAAUAUAGCAAAUGCCUUGGCAAGCGUGCCCAAAUUUUAUGUCCAGGUACUUCAUCUAAUGAAUAAAAUGAAUCUUCCUCCACCCUUUGGACCGAUUACUGCUCGCCCUCCUGUGUAUGAAGAGUAUUUACCAGUGCCUGUGCCACCUCCCCCAAUCCCACCUCUGCCUCCUGAAGAGCCUCCUUUGCCUGAAGAGGAAGAAGAGCAACUAUCUAGUGGGGAUGAAUCGGAAUAUGAAAGUGAUAAUGAUGAGGAAAAGGAGAGAAUGACCAAGUUAAUGGAAUUAGCAACCCUUCAGCCUAAAAGACCAAUAAACACAAAGAGACGCGGUGUUAGAAAAAAGCAAAGAAUUAAAGACUUACUGAAUGUUCCUGUGUGUACUCCCCACAGUAAUUUGCACCCUACACUGUCACCUUCAGAUGUCUUUGAGCAGCCACAUCAUGUAGGUCAUAAAAAAAUAGAAUUUCAUAUUAGUACUGACAUCCCAGCUGUUCUUCAGAUAAACUCAGAAAAAGAAGAAAAAAAUGAUCUUUCUGCAACCACAGAAGAAAUCAAUAAUACAGGCUUUGGAAGGAUUUUCCCAGCUCCUAGCUCAAAUGAUAAAAUGGAAACUGAAGAGGAGGAGGAUGAAAUACCAUCAGAAUUUAUUUCUAGAAAGGAUCUAGAAAAAAACAGACUUUCUAGAGAAGAAAUGGAAAAAUUUUCUGUUUUCAAAAACUAUGAGCCAGGUGAUCCAAAUUGCAGGAUAUAUGUGAAGAAUUUAGCUAAACAAGUCCAGGAAAAGGAUCUCAAGUUCAUUUUUGGAAGAUACGUUGACUUCCAGUCAGAAGUGGAACGAAAUAUGUUUGAUAUACGUUUGAUGAAAGAAGGCCGUAUGAAGGGACAGGCUUUCAUUGGACUUCCUAAUGAAAAAGCAGCUGCUAAAGCGUUAAAAGAAGCAAAUGGAUAUGUCUUAUUUGAAAAACCCAUGGUGGUUCAAUUUGCUCGUUCAGCUAGACCAAAACAGGAUGCCAACGAAGGGAAAAGGAAAAAGUAGAACACUGCACAAGAAACAUUCCUGCGUAAAUACUGCAGUAAUACUGUCAUGCAGAGUGUAUCCUUUCUUGUUGUAUCCUUUUUUUGUGCAAUGUUUCCCGUAGCACUCAACUACAUCUAAGUUUUCAUACAGAGUAGGUGUGGGGAGGAGUUUACAUGUUUAAAGCUUGAGCUAAUCUGGUAAUUUUGAAAAGAAGAAGAUGCUUUUUCAGGGGGAAAAAAGAAAUCAAUGAGUUUUCUGUGUUGUGUGAAUAGACACAUUAAAGGUUCUUAGUCUUAAAAGGUGGCCUCCACCUUUUUCCUCAAAGGUCAUAUACCUUACUAAUUUGUGAUCCCCUUCCUUAGUGAAACAGUUCCAGCUCAAACAAGCUGAUGUAUGUGGAGCUGUGCUGAGCUCACACUGAGGGUGUCACUUUGAUUUUCUUUAAAUAUGAAUACUAUUAUAUUAAUAUGUUGGCUAAAAUAUGUUGCAGAGCAAUUCCUAAUAUUAAGGGGUUGACAGGUAUUUAGAUCAUUUGAUGAUUACUGUUGUCCUGGUAUAUGAGAAACAAUCUGUAGUUGAUUCAGUUUAUACAUUCCUUACUAUGUCUUUUUUGAGUAAAGAAAAAAAUUAAUAAUAACUUGCAAUGAAGUAUUUGAAGUUGAACUAAUACUCAACUAUUAAUCACUGCUACCUUUUUGUUGGUUUUUUUUUUUAGAUUGUUCUCUGCACUGAGGUAGUGUUGUUGCCAGUGACUUAAUUUUCUUGUCCCUUUUGUGUUCCAUCUCUUUCAAGUAUUAUCAAGCUGGGGGAAGAAGCAGUGUAAUCAUCAGGACUCUUGAACUGUGCGUAGUAGCAUUUCUAAAGUAUUUAAGGCAGACUAUAAAUUGGCAGACUAUAAAUUUUCUCGUCUUAAAGAUUUCACAUCUUUAAAGUGUCCCAAGACUUAUAUGAUAAAUGUAUGUUAGUUUGCUUGUGAAAUCUAAUAAAUUAUUUCCUUUCUCUUUG